UGUGUAGGCGGCCACGUAAGUCGGAUGUGAAAGCCCCGGGCUCAACCCGGGAAGUGCACUCGAUACUGCGUGGCUUGAGUACUGGAGAGGUUGGUGGAAUUCUCGGUGUAGAGGUGAAAUUCGUAGAUAUCGAGAGGAACACCGGUGGCGAAGGCGGCCAACUGGACAGAUACUGACGCUGAGACACGAAAGCGUGGGGAGCAAACAGGAUUAGAUACCCUGGUAGUCCACGCCGUAAACGAUGGGUGCUAGGUGUCGCGGGCUUUGACUCCCGCGGUGCCGUAGCUAACGCAUUAAGCACCCCGCCUGGGAAGUACGGCCGCAAGGCUAAA
rnacentral:rRNA from 1 species